UAAAGCAGGUGGCAAGUGAAGAAUGGUAUUAAUCUGGACAAAAGCAGUCCUGGACACUGCAGUUCUGAGCCUACAAGAUGGAUAGACUGGGAAAGUGUUGGAAGCCUGUCAACAGAAGUCUUUUAAAUUAAUUUCCUGAUGAGAGCUAUAUGAUCCAGAGGGCAGUUUGGACUGAAUUUAGGGAUGACUUGGAAAUCAAAUCAAAAUGUAGCAAUUUGUAAGCAAGUAAUAGCUCUCAAUAUAAGUUCUCCAGAAUCCAUCUCAAACAAGAUGAUUGUAUCCUAUGAGCCAUGAAAAGUUGAUAUGGGAAAAAAGAGACACAAGAGAAGAGAUUUUCUCUAUACCUUUAAGAGAAUGUUUUGGUAAUCUAGCUGGAAAAUCCCAGAAGAACAUGGAUGAACAGUAAAGCCAGGACAGGUCAGUUUGAGAAACCCUUUGCAUUUUCUGAAAUAUAAAAUUAUCUCCUCCCAGCUGCUCCCCAAGACUUUAGUGAAGAACUGAAAGAAGAAAUAAGUGGAUGACUCCAGGAAAAUAGAAAGUAUGAGCUCUCAGUACACAGAUAAUAAAGCAUAAAUUGCUUUUCCAUUUUCAGAUCAUCAGAAGCUGCUGUUAAUUAACUGUAGGCUGCUCUGAAGGACUGCUAGCAGUACGUUUAAUAUAUGUGAAAAUCUCGGCUUUUUCCACAUUGGCAUCUCUUUGGAAGAGCACUGAUACCACAAGCUGCAAUGACUCUUUCUUGAAAUAAUAUCGUUUGGCUUACUAAAGAGCAGUAAAAUAUUUAAAUUAAUAUUUUCAUGCCAAAUGCAUAAUUAACCCCAUGGGAAACAAAAAGGGAAGCAUUAUACAUUUGUUUAAUAUGUUCUUUCUUAUUGAAAGAGCUAAAUGUAUACUGCAGGUUUUCAAAUAAAGGAAAAAGAAUCUAAAUUAAAUCAUCCCCUGUAACUGUGCAAUAUUUGAUCUUUCAUGAUUUUUUUAAAAAUGUGUCAGAAAUAGUAUUGUGUAACAUACUCCUGGGAGACAAUGUCCAUGUAUGUGUUCAGCUUUUCUGUUUUUGAAAAUAAAAUUGUUCCUGGGUUUUAUGA